GUGGGGAAUUUUGGACAAUGGGCGCAAGCCUGAUCCAGCCAUGCCGCGUGCAGGAUGAAGGCCUUCGGGUUGUAAACUGCUUUUGUACGGAACGAAAAGACUCUGGUUAAUACCUGGGGUCCAUGACGGUACCGUAAGAAUAAGCACCGGCUAACUACGUGCCAGCAGCCGCGGUAAUACGUAGGGUGCGAGCGUUAAUCGGAAUUACUGGGCGUAAAGCGUGCGCAGGCGGUGCUGUAAGACAGGCGUGAAAUCCCCGGGCUCAACCUGGGAAUUGCGCUUGUGACUGCAGUGCUGGAGGGCGGCAGAGGGGGAUGGAAUUCCGCGUGUAGCAGUGAAAUGCGUAGAUAUGCGGAGGAACACCGAUGGCGAAGGCAAUCCCCUGGACCUGUACUGACGCUCAUGCACGAAAGCGUGGGGAGCAAACAGGAUUAGAAACCCGUGUAGUCC
rnacentral:rRNA from 1 species